rnacentral:rRNA from 1 species
GACGAACGCUGGCGGCGUGCUCAACACAUGCAAGUCGAACGGUGAACCGCCUUCGAGCGGGGAUCAGUGGCGAACGGGUGAGUAACACGUGGGUAACCUGCGCUCCACUAUGGGAUAACUCCGGGAAACCGGGGCUAAUACCGGAUACGACCUGAGGCGGCAUCGCCUCGGGUUGAAAGUAUUUCGGGGGAGGAUGGACCCGCGGCCUCUCAGCUUGUUGGGGGGGUAACGGACUACCAAGGCGAUGACGGGUAGCGGGCCUGAGAGGGCGGGCGGCCACACUGGGACUGGGACACGGCACAGACUCCUACGGGAGGCAGCAGUGGGGAAUAUUGCACAAUGGGCGAAAGCCUGAUGCAGCGACGCCGCGUGAGGGAUGACGGCCUUCGGGUUGUAAACCUCUUUCAGCAGGGACGAAGCGCAAGUGACUGUACCUGCAGAAGAAGCACCGGCUAACUACGUGCCAGCCGCCGCCGUAAUAC